UACGUAGGGUGCGAGCGUUAAUCGGAAUUACUGGGCGUAAAGCGUGCGCAGGCGGUUUUGUAAGCCAGAUGUGAAAUCCCCGGGCUUAACCUGGGAAUGGCAUUUGGGACUGCAAGGCUUGAGUUUGGCAGAGGAGACUGGAAUUCCUGGUGUAGCAGUGAAAUGCGCAGAUAUCAGGAGGAACACCGGUGGCGAAGGCGGGUCUCUGGGCCGAUACUGACGCUGAGGAGCGAAAGCGUGGGGAGCGAACAGG
rnacentral:rRNA from 1 species